rnacentral:rRNA from 1 species
GAUGAACGCUGGCGGCGUGCCUAAUACAUGUAAGUCGAGCGAACGGACGAGAAGCUUGCUUCUCUGAUGUUAGCGGCGGACGGGUGAGUAACACGUGGAUAACCUACCUAUAAGACUGGGAUAACUUCGGGAAACCGUAGCUAAUACCGGAUAAUAUUUUGAACCGCAUGGUUCAAAAGUGAAAGACGGUCUUGCUGUCACUUAUAGAUGGAUCCGCGCUGCAUUAGCUAGUUGGUAAGGUAACGGCUUACCAAGGCAACGAUGCAUAGCCGACCUGAGAGGGUGAUCGGCCACACUGGAACUGAGACACGGUCCAGACUCCUACGGGAGGCAGCAGCAGGGAAUCUUCCGCAAUGGGCGAAAGCCUGACGUGGCAACGCCGCGUGAGUGAUGAAGGUCUUCGGAUCGUAAAACUCUGUUAUUAGGGAAGAACAUAUGUGUAAGUAACUGUGCACAUCUUGACGGUACCUAAUCAGAAAGCCACGGCUAACUACGUG